UAGGCUUGACAUACCAAGAAUUUUCUAGAGAUAGAGGAGUGCCUGCUUGCAGGAAUUUGGAUACAGGUGCUGCACGGCUGUCGUCAGCUCGUGUCGUGAGAUGUUGGGUUAAGUCCCGCAACGAGCGCAACCCUCGUCCUUAGUUGCCAGCAGGUUAAGCUGGGCACUUUAAGGAGACUGCCUUCGCAAGGAGGAGGAAGGUGAGGACGACGUCAAGUCAUCAUGGCCCUUAUGGCUAGGGCUACACACGUGCUACAAUGGGGCGUACAGAGAGUUGCGAUACCGCGAGGUGGAGCCAAUCUCACAAAGCGUCUCUCAGUUCGGAUUGAAGUCUGCAACUCGACUUCAUGAAGCUGGAAUCACUA
rnacentral:rRNA from 1 species